rnacentral:rRNA from 1 species
UACGUAGGUGGCAAGCGUUAUCCGGAUUUAUUGGGUGUAAAGGGCGUGUAGGCGGGAAUGCAAGUCAGAUGUGAAAACUAUGGGCUCAACCCAUAGCCUGCAUUUGAAACUGUAUUUCUUGAGUGCUGGAGAGGCAAUCGGAAUUCCGUGUGUAGCGGUGAAAUGCAUAGAUAUCGCGCAGAACUCCGAUUGCGAAGGCAGCGUACCGGCGCCACACUGACGCUGAGGUUCGAAAGCGUGGGUAGCAAACAGG